rnacentral:rRNA from 1 species
ACGCUCGACACCUACAGGAGGCAGCAGUGGGGAAUAUUGCACAAUGGGGGAAACCCUGAUGCAGCGACGCCGCGUGAGCGAAGAAGUAUUUCGGUAUGUAAAGCUCUAUCAGCAGGGAAGAAACUGACGGUACCUGACUAAGAAGCACCGGCUAAAUACGCGCCAGCAGCCGCGGUAAUCUGAGCGGGCUGGCAAGGC